UACAGAGGGUGCAAGCGUUGUUCGGAAUUAUUGGGCGUAAAGCGCGCGCAGGCGGUCCUUUAAGUCUGAUGUGAAAGCCCACGGCUCAACCGUGGAGGGUCAUUGGAAACUGGGGGACUUGAGUGCAGAAGAGGAAAGCGGAAUUCCACGUGUAGCGGUGAAAUGCGUAGAGAUGUGGAGGAACACCAGUGGCGAAGGCGGCUUUCUGGUCUGUAACUGACGCUGAGGCGCGAAAGCUAGGGGAGCAAACAGG
rnacentral:rRNA from 1 species